UUUCCCAUUUUUCUUCCCUUUUUUGGCGUGGGUCGCUGGGAACUCGUCGGCUGUCAGACGUCGCUCCAUCACAGAGCGUUUUUCUUCUUCAGCUUCGUCAAGGUCGCUCCGUCGUCGUCGUUCCGAGCGUUCUUCUUCAGCCAAACAUUCAUCCGUUCCAAACUUCUUGUGCUGAACGGUGAAGGUUAAACGUUGUUCUAUCCGCCGUUCUUCAUGAAGAAGGACAGCUCGCCAUUGAUGAAGAAGGACAACUCCAUGAAUCCUAACUUAAAGCUUCUUCUACCUCCUCCCGACGAAGUUUCCUUUGCCUUCAUAACUCGAAGCGGUACUUUCACCGAUGGCGAUUUGCUUGUUAAUAAAGACGACGUGCAGAUUGUUUCUCAAACGGACGACGAAAGUGUACGCAAUUUUGAGCUUGUUCUGUUUUUUCUUGUCUUUUUUUUUUCCAUCCGACUGUUUCUCCAUUGCUAGGAUACUGCUAAACAGUUGGCUCAGGGGGUUUUUGCCCUAAGCUUGCCAAUGCCGGAAUAAAAUGUGUUUUUCUUCUUUAGUUCACCUUUUUCAUUUCUUCUGUGGCGAUGGAGCUGCCUCCCAUUUUUUCUUGUGCUCUGUUUGGUAUUCCAGAAUAUUCUUCUUCCUUCAAUCGCUUUAAAUCGAAUCUAUCACUGCCUUCCUCCACUUUGCCUUUACAUACACCAUUGUUGACUCUCUCUUGAGGAGAUCUGUGGAAGAAAUCAAAAGAAUCGCUCUAAGUUGAAUGUAUAUCACACAUGUGGUUCACAAAGUAUACAACAAAGAGUUGAAAAAGAGUUGUUAAAUCGUAUGCUUCUCAAGUGAUUGAUGGUACUCUUGACAUGAACGAUGAUGAUAUUUUCGUACAAAUAUGUGGACCAGAGAAACAUAGACAUGUUCGUGGUUAUGGAGUAGGUGUUAUCCAUUCUGAGUUGUUUGGAUCAUCGUCUAAGGUGCAUGAUCUUGAGCGUCGCCUCAAUGAGUCUAAAAAAAUAUCUUCACGAAUUUGAAUGACAAAGAAAAGCUGAGGUACAAAAACUCCAAGAAAGAAGUAGCGAAUUAGAAAACCGUUUUGAGGAUAGAUUCCAAACUAUGAUGGCAAAGAGAUGCGUAACAUGUUUCUAGUUGAUCGAAUGUCAUAGUUUGAUGUUAUAUAACAUUUUGAGAUUGUAAUUUUGAUGUCGUAGAUUGCCAUUGUAAUUUGAAGUUAUAGAACAUUUUAAGAUUGUAAUUUUGAUGUCGUAGGUUAUCAUUGUAAUUCAAUAUUUCACCAUUAUAAUACAUUGUAAUUUUUGAAGGCUU